GAAUAAUAAAAAAGAGAGAUAUUGGCUCUGAGAGAUUGGCAUCAAGGUUGGAGAAGGAGGCCGACCAAUACCCAAACACGUUUUUGAAGUUAUCAUCUAUUUGGUAAUUCCGAUCCCUUUCAAAAAUUGUAUGCUUGUUUUCAACUUAGUUUUUAAGACAUGUGUAAAAUUUGAGUUAAGAUCGACGGUCAUUCAUUAGUUAUUGAGAUUUAAAUCUAUUCUGGAAAUUAGUAGGAUUUGGUUAGGAUUUGGUUUAGGAUUUAGGGUUUGGUUUAUGGUUUAGAGGUUGGUUAAGGUUUUAUUUAGGGUUUAGGGUUUUUUUUAGGAUUUGGUUUAGAAUUUGGUUAGGGUUUGGUUUAGGAUUUAUUUAGGGUUUGAUUUAGAAUUUAGGAUUUAGUUAGGAUUUCAUUUCGGAUUUAGGAUUUGGUUUAGGAUUUGGUUAGGAUUUAGUUUAGGGUUUAGGAAUUUAUUAAGGUUUAUUUAGGAUUUAAGUUUUAAUUA
rnacentral:lncRNA from 1 species